UACAUACAUUAUGUUUCUCUUUAAUAAUCAUUUUCUCUAGCAGGUCAAGACCUUGUCCAGACUUUUCAUGACGCUAAACCUGUUUCGCUAUUGUCGAGAAUGGCCUCAUGAACUAGGAAUGGGGAAAUUCAGCCAGCACGCCAGAUCCGAUGCCUGAGCAAUUUCAGCCCGGCCCGCAAGUCGACCCUAUACUUGAUUAAUUAUGAAUGUGGCCUGACAUGCUGCACAUUGUGAAUCAAUAGGGAUAACAUUUUCGGUCAUGAAAAUUAGAUGUAAUAGUUCCUGUUCCUCUUGGUCGAAGAAUUAGACCUAAUAUUUUUAUCAUAUAAAAUGUCCUUGAAUUACGUUGAAUGACAUAGGCUAAGAUGUCAGUUUUUAAAAGCGUGUGUAUUUUACCCAAUUUUCUCCUUCUGAGACCUGCAAGGUGUUCGGAAUUGCUUAAUCUGACAGACACGCUAGCCCAUACCAAAGAUUGUACAAUGUACAUAACAAGAUAGUUUACUCCUCUCUUUGAACCUAUUAAAAAAGUGUCUACAAAAUCCAGUGGCGCCCUCUUCGAAAAAGGGCGGAUUUUACGAUCAGAGUUACAUUGCUUGCGUGAAAAACAAUAAAAGUGAAACUAACAAA